GUGGGGAAUCUUGCGCAAUGGGCGAAAGCCUGACGCAGCCAUGCCGCGUGAAUGAUGAAGGUCUUAGGAUUGUAAAAUUCUUUCACCGGGGACGAUAAUGACGGUACCCGGAGAAGAAGCUCCGGCUAACUUCGUGCCAGCAGCCGCGGUAAUACGAAGGGGGCUAGUGUUGCUCGGAAUUACUGGGCGUAAAGGGCGCGUAGGCGGACAACUUAGUCAGAGGUGAAAGCCCAGGGCUCAACCUUGGAAUUGCCUUUGAUACUGGCUGUCUUGAGUUUGGGAGAGGUGAGUGGAACUCCGAGUGUAGAGGUGAAAUUCGUAGAUAUUCGGAAGAACACCAGUGGCGAAGGCGACUCACUGGCCCAAUACUGACGCUGAGGCGCGAAAGCGUGGGGAGCAAACAGGAUUAGAAACCCCGGUAGUCC
rnacentral:rRNA from 1 species